rnacentral:rRNA from 1 species
AUUGAACGCUGGCGGCAUGCCUUACACAUGCAAGUCGAACGGUAACGGGCCUUCGGGUGCCGACGAGUGGCGAACGGGUGAGUAAUGCAUCGGAACGUACCUUUCAGUGGGGGAUAACGUAGCGAAAGUUACGCUAAUACCGCAUAUUCUGUGAGCAGGAAAGCAGGGGAUCGCAAGACCUUGCGCUGAUUGAGCGGCCGAUGUCAGAUUAGCUAGUUGGUGAGGUAAAGGCUCACCAAGGCGACGAUCUGUAGCGGGUCUGAGAGGAUGAUCCGCCACACUGGAACUGAGACACGGUCCAGACUCCUACGGGAGGCAGCAGUGGGGAAUUUUGGACAAUGGGGGCAACCCUGAUCCAGCCGUGCCGCGUGAGUGAAGAAGGCCUCGGUUGUAAG